rnacentral:rRNA from 1 species
CUUAAUCAUUUAAUUAACUAUCAUAAUAUUAAAAAUACUAACAAAACCACAAGAACACAAACCAAAACAUUCUACCGCCCCAGUAUGUGUGACAGAAAGGGCACAACUUAAAGCCAUAGAAAUAGUACCGCAGGGGAACGCUGAAAGAGAAAUGAAAUAACUCAUUAAAGCGCAAUAAAGCAGAGACUAAUCCUC